UUCAUUUCCCCCUCCCCUCAAAUUCACGCCCAACCCUACGCUUCAAAUCCACCCCCAAAAUUUACAACUCCCUCGGUUCAAAAUCCUCCACCAAUAAUCGUAGUUUCCUUUCCCACGAAAUCCCAAUUUCAUCGGGAGAUUGAUUUCUCUUUAGAUCAUAAUUUCGUUGCAGAGGAUUACCUUUAACUUUCCGGAGAAUAGAAUUCUCAGUAUUAGCGGCUUUCGUUGGCUUUCAGGAGGUUCUAUAACAAAUUUCUCUGGACUUUAGUUGUUUUCAUUUGGAUUACCAUGUACGACUUGGUUCGUAAGUUCAAGCAACCCGUUAUCCAGUUAUGUUCUUUGACUAUAUUUUACACGUUCUAUAGUACUAUGUUGGGGACUUUGUAUAAGGAAUUGUGGUCUGUUUAUUCUCCAUGCCAAUACUGAGUUUUUUCCACUGUCUAAGAACUAUGGUAUCGGCCUCACGAUGUGGAGUCCACUUGCAUCUGCAGCUCUAAUGGCGAGUACAAAUUGGGAUAGUAGGUUUGGUUUGCAUAGGAAAACCAUUAGGGAAAAUAUUGGUAGCUUCAACUUCUUAUUGAAAAUUUAUUUCACCAUUUUGUUCCAUGAUCUUGUGUGCUGGCAACUUGCACAUCUCUAUACAUUGAAGUUAUUGUUGUGAGGUUUGUGGUUUCUAUCUCCAUGAGGCUUUUAAAUGAUCUUUUCUUAUCCAUCUAAUUAUGUUUCAAUAGAAUUUAACUCGUUGUUAUAUAAUUUCAGUUUCUGGGUUGGAUUAUGCAUAUGUUGUUGCCAAAUGGCCAUGAGAGUGUACAACUAUUUAGCUGCUUCUACACAGUAAAUGACUCUCUGUUUUGUUUUGUUUUUUCCAAUAAUGCAAAUUUAAUUUAGUGUUUGCAUGUGCUUCACUAUUUUCUUGUGAUGUGCUGCAUAAAGUAGAUGGCUUAAGACCGACUGCAGAUGAGCUCGAUGUUCCUCUAUUCCGCUUGCAAUUGUUUGAUGUGCUUCAUACCAAUGUGUAGUUGGUUUCAACAGGGAAAUUAAGCUGCCUGGACUAUCAUAAUGGUCAAAUAUUUGGAAGAAUAUGUGACUGGAGGCUUUAUUUAGAGUAGUGAGGUUAAGCGAUCUUCCAAUGGAGUUUUGUAGGAUUUUUUACACUUCGUAUUUUAGUAUUGUGUGAGUUCGAAUUUAUUAUAUUAGUAUUAGUAUUAUGUAAAAUAUUGAUUUGAUAGUUUGUAUAUUUCAAGGUAUUUUUAAUGUUAAACUUAAUUGUUAA